GAACGGAGAGAUUCAUCGUCAUUCGGCGGCGUACGGGCGCGCGCCACGAUGCGCGUCGUUCGUUAACGCGAUUCRGCGCGCACGGGACGCGUCCGUCGACGUCCGCCGACGGCGUGCACUUCUCUCUCAGUAAUGCAUCGCGACCCGUUCGAGGUCGGCCUAAGCGCCGCGAUGGAGCACGGCGUCCGGCGUCUCGGCGUCAGACAYCGUACCUCGUCGGUUGCCGGCCGGCCGUCACGCGGACGGUAAUAUGGAUGGAUACGCUUCAAUAGCGAAUCGCGCACGCGUCAACAUAUAUACGCGUCCGGCCCGACGCAAGCUUACGUCCGCAGUCUAUGUCCUGCCCGAGCGCGGACGUCGACUCGGCGUUGCUGCCUCGUAGCCGCCGUGCAGUCUCGGACUGUGCGCGUCUCUGUCUGCGAUGAUUCUGUUUCGGGCACUCGCAGGACCCGUCUUGAAACACGGACCAAGGAGUCUAGCAUGUGUGCGAGUCAUUCGGUUCGUAUUCAAUUUGAUAAAACCGAAAGGCGCAACGAAAGUGAAGGCGCGCGCUCGCCGCGCGCUCAGGGAGGAUGGUGAUUCGGCUCGGAUCGAUCUCUCGCACUCCCGAGGCGUCUCGUUUCCAAUCAGUGAAUGCAGGCGCGCUCUGAGCACAGAUGCUGGGACCCGAAAGAUGGUGAACUAUGCCUGGUCAGGUUUAAGUCAGGGGAAACCCUGAUGGAGGACCGUAGCGAUUCUGACGUGCAAAUCGAUCGUCGGAACUGGGUAUAGGGGCGAAAGACUAAUCGAACCAUCUAG
rnacentral:rRNA from 1 species